rnacentral:rRNA from 1 species
AGAUUAAGUUAUUAAGGGCGCACGGUGGAUGCCUUGGCACUAGAAGCCGAUGAAGGACGUUACUAACGACGAUAUGCUUUGGGGAGCUGUAAGUAAGCUUUGAUCCAGAGAUUUCCGAAUGGGGAAACCCAGCAUGAGUUAUGUCAUGUUAUCGAUAUGUGAAUACAUAGCAUAUCAGAAGGCACACCCGGAGAACUGAAACAUCUUAGUACCCGGAGGAAGAGAAAGAAAAUUCGAUUCCCUUAGUAGCGGCGAGCGAAACGGGAAGAGCCCAAACCAAAAAGCUUGCUUGUUGGGGUUGUAGGACACUCUAUACGGAGUUACAAAGGACGACAUUAGACGAAUCAUCUGGAAAGAUGAAUCAAAGAAGGUAAUAAUCCUGUAGUCGAAAAUGUUGUCUCUCUUGAGUGGAUCCUGAGUACGACGGAGCACGUGAAAUUCCGUCGGAAUCUGGGAGGACCAUCUCCUAAGGCUAAAUACUCUCUAGUGACCGAUAGUGAACCAGUACCGUGAGGGAAAGGUGAAAAGCACCCCGGAAGGGGAGUGAAAUAGAACCUGAAACCGUGUGCUUACAAGUAGUCAGAGCCCGUUAAUGGGUGAUGGCGUGCCUUUUGUAGAAUGAACCGGCGAGUUACGAUUUGAUGCAAGGUUAAGCAGUAAAUGUGGAGCCGUAGCGAAAGCGAGUCUGAAUAGGGCGUUUAGUAUUUGGUCGUAGACCCGAAACCAGGUGAUCUACCCUUGGUCAGGUUGAAGUUCAGGGAACACUGAAUGGAGGACCGAACCGACUUACGUUGAAAAGUGAG